UACAGAGGUCUCAAGCGUUGUUCGGAUUCAUUGGGCGUAAAGGGUGUGUAGGUGGCGCGCUAAGUCGGGUGUGAAAUUUCGGAGCUUAACUCCGAAACUGCAUUCGAUACUGGCGUGCUUGAGGACUGGAGAGGAGACUGGAAUUCAUGGUGUAGCAGUGAAAUGCGUAGAGAUCAUGAGGAAGACCAGUGGCGAAGGCGGGACUCUGGACAGUUCCUGACACUGAGACACGAAGGCCAGGGGAGCAAACGGG
rnacentral:rRNA from 1 species